UUCUGCGUAGCCUUGGAAGCAACCUGAGCUCUCCUAAUUCCGUGGGACACCCACCUGUGACAGUAGCACAAAUGAAUCACUGCGGGGAGAUCUUUCAAGCUUGGAGUGAUUUAUUCCACUCAAACCCCAAGUCAUCCCAGGAGCCUUGGCCAAUCCUGGUACAGCGAAAGUUCCAACUAAAUCAAAUGGACUACAAUGCCUGCCUGAGGCGAUUUUUCUAACCCUCUUCCAGACUGGGGGGAAACCCUGAACAGAAUAUCUCACACCACCUUCAGAACCUUCCCCUUUUCCCUUUUCUGUGCAGACAGCACGUUAAAAAGAUCUGUAAGUGACUGUUCUAGGGAUCUGUUCCACCUGCUCGGAAUACGGGAAACUACAGACGCUGCGGCUGCCUCAUCAAGGAAAUGGCUUCUGGAAUCCCAGUUCCAAAGACGAUUGUGUUCUUCACACGCCCUCUUGUGGCGACUCUGACCUAAUGCAAUCAGGGGUAAAAUGACACAAGAUAAUUAGGAAUGGAUGGACAUGGGACACUUUCAGAUCCUUUUCUCUGCCACAGCAACAAUCAAAGACUUGUUUCCUUCCCGUGAUACCCCCCAGGGACCACAAAGACCAGUAUAAUAAAACUUAAGGCCUAGCUGAUUAUUAAUAUGGUACCUCUUGCUAUUGUCCAAAUUAUCCUUUCCCUGCCGUGUUGGCAGAUUAUACACCUCGGCCCUUGCGACGCCUCCUGGUAGGGGGUAGAGCCCGCAUCUCUGCCCCACCGUUAAGUCUGCGUGUGUCAGUGGACCAGGAACUUUUCAAUAUGCCGCCACCGCCUCUGUGCCCUUGCUCUCUGCGACAAGAGCGCCAUGUCCCAGACAGGGGCUGCUCCUUCAGCCCAGAUCCAGGAAUGAGGGGACAUGGGGAGAGGAAUUACAGAUGGCCUACAACACGGAGCAGAGCGGCAGCCAACUCACAGCCUUUAUGUAAUGAGAGAGAAAUGGAUGCUUAUUUUGGAGACCACUAAAAUUCUGAAAUCAUUACACGGAAAACCUGACUGAUACAACGAGCAGUGGUGAUUAUUCUGUCAUACUGUCAUAGUAUUUGUAUACAGCGAAAGAAACAAUAAGCAACAUGAAAACGCAGCCUACAUACAGAAUGCAGUGGAAAUGUACAAAACGCCACCUACGGAACAUGCAGCCCACGGAGAAAAUGUCUCAAACCAUCUGUUAAGGGGUUAAUAUCCAAAAUAU